rnacentral:rRNA from 1 species
UACGUAGGGUGCAAGCGUUGUCCGGAAUUAUUGGGCGUAAAGAGCGUGUAGGCGGCCCGACCAGUCCGCUGUGAAAGUCCAGGGCUCAACCCUGGAAUGCCGGUGGAUACUGUCGGGCUAGAGUCCGGAAUGGGCGAGUGGAAUUCCUGGUGUAGCGGUGAAAUGCGCAGAUAUCAGGAGGAACACCGAUGGCGAAGGCAGGUCUCUGGGCCACUACUGACGCUGAGAAGCGAAAGCAUGGGGAGCGAACAGG